UUCCUCAGGCCGGCAUCAGCGGCCAGAAAGGAGAAAAGGGAGAACCAGCUGUUUUGGAGCCUGGAAUGCUGAUUGAAGGUCCUCCAGGGCCUGAAGGACCUGCUGGGCUUCCGGGACCUUCUGGUCCUUCUGGACCUCCUGGCUCAGUGGGUGACCCUGGUGAGAGGGGUCCUCCUGGCAGGGCGGGUCUGCCGGGGGCCGAUGGAGUUCCUGGACCUCCUGGAACUUCAGUCAUGCUGCCUGUAAAAUAUCUUUACUCAU